rnacentral:rRNA from 1 species
UACGGGGGGAGCAAGCGUUGUUCGGAGUUACUGGGCGUAAAGGGUGUGUAGGCGGUUGUUUAAGUUUGGUGUGAAAUCUCCCGGCUCAACUGGGAGGGUGCGCCGAAUACUGAAUGACUUCGAGUGCGGGAGAGGAGAGUGGAAUUCCUGGUGUAGCGGUGAAAUGCGUAGAUAUCAGGAGGAACACCGGUGGUGUAGACGGCUCUCUGGACCGUAACUGACGCUGAGACACGAAAGCGUGGGUAGCAAACAGG